rnacentral:rRNA from 1 species
AUCAACUUUCGAUGGUAGGAUAGAGGCCUACCAUGGUGGUAACGGGUAACGGGGUGUUAGGGCACGACACCGGAGAGGGAGCCUGAGAAACGGCUACCACAUCCAAGGAUGGCAGCAGGCGCGCAAAUUACCCAAUCCCGACACGGGGAGGUAGUGACAAUAAAUAACAAUACGGGGUUCUUUCGGAUUUCGUAAUUGGAAUGAGUACAAUUUAAAUCUCUUAACGAGGAACAAUUGGAGGGCAAGUCUGGUGCCAGCAGCCGCGGUAAUUCCAGCUCCAAUAGCGUAUAUUAAAGUUGCUGCAGUUAAAAAGCUCGUAGUUGAAUUUCGGGACCAAUAUGUCGGUCGUGCCUCGGUACGUACUGGCAUCGUUGGUUUCUCCCUUCUGACGAACCAUGAUGUCAUUCAUUUGGUGUCGUGGGGAAUCAGGACUGUUACUUUGAAAAAAUUAGAGUGUUUAAAGCAGGCUCACGCUUGAAUACAUUAGCAUGGAAUAAUGAAAUAGGACGUUUGAUUCCAUUUUGUUGGUUUCUAGGAUCGACGUAAUGAUUAAUAGGGAUAGUUGGGGGCAUUAGUAUUCAAUUGUCAGAGGUGAAAUUCUUGGAUUUAUUGAAGACUAACUACUGCGAAAGCAUUUGCCAAGGAUGUUUUCAUUAAUCAAGAACGAAAGUUAGGGGAUCGAAGACGAUCAGAUACCGUCGUAGUCUUAACCAUAAACUAUGCCGACUAGGGAUCGGAUGAUGUUAAUUUCUUAAUGACUCAUUCGGCGCCUUACGGGAAACCAAAGUGUUUGGGUUC